CGGCUAUUAUCGUACCUGUACUUAACAUUUUUUGAAAAUAGUUUUAAAUCAAAACAGAAACGUGUACGUGUUUAAUAAAUAUACGUGUUCUAUUACUGUAAAGGUUAUAUGUACAGUCAUCAGUUCCAGCAAGAUUUAAACGGACCAAUUUGAGUCGCCGAACAAUCAAAUCUCAUGCAUAUGAGAGCACGAACAUCAGGUUAACCAAACAAUGAAAAUAUGCGUGUGAGCACGGCCUAGUUAUGUCAAUAACAAUAACAAGAGGCACGAGAUAAACGAGAUCAACAGUGACAAUUAGAAAAGAGAAACGCGUAAAUUCAUAGUAAACAGACUUAGAGGAAUUGACCAACAAUGCCAACAAGUUUUUCGAGCAUUUACAUCAGAUUUAUUUCUUCGACUAGAAUUCCAGUAUGAGCCUAUAACUGCCCAAUUAAUAAAACGUUGAAGUUGUUGACGACGAUAUUAAUUUAAGAUUUAACUUCGAUUAUAUGAUAUAUUAUAUAAGGCUCUUCUCCAUAUAUUCUCAUUUUCAAUUCUGUCGCUGAUUGUUAGCAUCUGUGAAC